AUUGGGGCCUCCCUAAUAUAAAGGAAUAUUCUGAGGCAAAUAAGGCUAAUCGUGCACAUGGAGGUGCUCCUCAUCGGACUGGUCGUACUUCAUUUGCUCAAUUGAAACAUGAGAUGAGAGAGAAGGGAGAGAAAACGGAUCGGUUGAGCAUGUUUAUAAAAACAAGAACAAAGAAAACAAAGAAUGAUGACAGAGACCUUUUCGAUGAGGAAAGUGGCCACAUUAUUAAUCAAUUUAAUCAAUGCUUGGAAGAAAGGGAAGAGCAUGAGCAAGACGAGGAUUAUCGAGAGGAGGUGUUUACUAGAGUUAUGGGACCUGAUGCAUAUGGACGUGUUCGCAUGUAUGGAACAGGUAUAACUCCAUCUCAAGUGUUUUGUCAAAGUUCAAGAUCUUCCAAUGUUAAUGAGGACACCAUACGAGAAGAGGUAGAAAGACAAUAUAAGACUAAGAUAGAUGAUCUUAAGGCUAAGCAUGAAUCUGAAAUUGAAGAUCUCUGAUCCAAGUAUAGUGAAGUCAGUUCGAAACUCCAUCUCGUGAUGACUCAUAUUGGUUUCCAUGUUAACACAUCACCAAGUAGAAGUGGACAGGCUCCAAAUACAUCAAGCCAUCUACAAGAAACAUAUGGGAGUAAUGAGCAACAACCUCAGUUAGACCCAGAACCAUAGAAACAAUUGCUUCAUAAAAGGUUUGCAUGGAGAUUGUGAUGAAGAGUCUUGAUCAUAAUUAAACUCUUGAAUAUGUUGGAGCAUAUUUGAAAAAAAAAAAUUAUGUUCAUAACUUUUGAGACGAGAUUAUUUAUAUUUGACUCUAGUAGGAUUAUAUGUAUUGGGAUAUGCGGAUGGUGUACUUUCAAUGUUAUUAGGAAUUCUAAAAGCAUAGUUCUUUGAUUCAUAUAUUAUUUUACUUUUGAA